rnacentral:rRNA from 1 species
UACGUAGGUGGCAAGCGUUAUCCGGAUUUACUGGGUGUAAAGGGCGUGUAGGCGGGGACGCAAGUCAGAUGUGAAAACCACGGGCUCAACCUGUGGCCUGCAUUUGAAACUGUGUUUCUUGAGUACUGGAGAGGCAGGCGGAAUUCCUAGUGUAGCGGUGAAAUGCGUAGAUAUUAGGAGGAACACCAGUGGCGAAGGCGGUCUGCUGGACAGCAACUGACGCUGAGGCGCGAAAGCGUGGGGAGCAAACAGG